GUGGGGAGCUGUUUUUGGGUUCUAUUUGUCUUUAUUUUGAAGGAUUUAAUCUCUAAUAAUGUAUGUAGCAUUGGUGCUACCAAUACUAACAGAAUUCUGGUGUUUUUACCUGUCCGUAGCUCAGUUGGGCUUAAGGCAGGCCAGGCAGAUAUGGAAUGAGACAACCUUUUGUCAGAUGGUCCCAAAUGGGAAACACACCUUUACUGACGAAAGUGGAAGUUUACCAGCCUUAGCAGUGUCAAGGUGUUUAUAGAAAGUCUUAUGAUGUGUAGAGGGCCCUUCUGGAGAACCUACUACUUUAUUCCUCAGCCAAAGGAUGGAAAAGCACUGUUUGCUUUUUUGAGUACCAUAAAGUUGUUGUGGUUCAGAACUUCUCAAGUUGCCCAGUAUGACAGUAAAGAAUAUUGGCAUUGCUGUUAUUUUCGAAGCUAAAAUAAGGCAGACACAUGACUUCAGCAAGCGCAUGUGAAGUUUGCACAUCAUAAGUCAUUGCAAUAAAGAAACCAAAACAAAAUCCUAGAGUGUUGUUAAAGCUGGAAUAUGUUUUCCAUUAAAAAAAAAAAAAAUUCCUUUAGAUUUGAUUUGGCUUCUUUUUCCACACCUAUGGAACUGUAGAGUAUCUCAGGAAUAUUAGCACACUGCCUUUGCAAGACAGAAAGUUCCAAUCUUCAUGAAUGGACCCAAGUAUAAAGUAUAACAGAAGGUUAUCUUAUUUUUUCAAACACUCCAGCAACAGCAGCUUUUACUGCACUGCCAAAUACUAGGCAACAAUUAGAACAGCUGGGAAGACAAAUCAGAAAAAAAGAAAGCGGAGGAAAAGAGCGGUGUCCCAAGCUUUUACUUUGGCUGCCAUUUUAAGAAGCGCGCCCUUUGGCCAAUGACCAUUUUGUAAUUGUGUUUUAAGAUCACAGCAGACGUUAGGGAUGAUGUUUGUGCAGCAUGCGAGCUCCUUGCUGUGUGCUGAGAACUGCCCAGUGAGGGUCUGGCACAGUGGGAGGGGAAAGAUAUACACAGCCUGCCUGCAGGCACCAGCGUGGAGGUUAGUCAUCUGCUGAGUCAAUGGGAGACACCAGCACCUCCAAAGGGUGCUUCUGCCUACUUGUCAUCUAAAGUUAGACAGCUAACGUUGGUUGCUAAAAAGGAGCUGAGAUGAGGGAAAGGGUUUCACAGCAGAUGUAUCUGCCUGUAUGUGUGUUAGCAAUUCUACCUCUUCACGCAUCUCUAUGCAUUUGCAUAGAGAAUGAUUCCUGGCUGGUAUUUUCAAGAAGUGAAUUCCCACUUACCAGAACAUGAUAAUAGCUUGCGUUCCUUAUUUACAGAGGUCUAGCUGUACAAGUAUUGACUUGUCAGUCACAAAUUCUUGCAACAAUCAGGAAGAGUUAGGGAUUUUCCAACCUUGCAAAUAGCUUUCCAAGAAAGUCAUCAGAAACAGUUGGAUAAACACACAGUGCAACUUGUAAAACUCCAGGCAAACUGACAGCACAGUCAGAAUUAGAAUCAGUCUGAGCUUUUUUUCUGAUGUGAUGCUGGUCAUGUAACUAGUGUUGAGAUAAAUCUGGUUGUAUGGGAACUGCUGAAUCACGGCCUGAACCUCUGAUUGAUCACCUGAGGUGAGCGCUGAGUCAGCCACAGAGCCCAGGUGAAGGCAAUUCAGCUGUGCGAUCAGAAGGGGUGGAGCCUGGCUGCACCUCUCCUAGACCCCAUUUAAGGACUGACUGCCACCAAGGAAGGAUCUGUGUCUGGAGGUUGCUCCAGACUCCUGUGGAGUUUCUUGUGAGCCUACAAUGUUGCGUGCUUACUCUCUUUGUAUACCAGUCUUCUGGAUCCUGCUCAACAGCCUCAUUUGGAUGAAACUGGAUACUGUGCCAAUUUUAUUCCAGCUCCAUUAAUGUAUGGCAACAAUACAGACAAUGCAUUGGCUGACAAAGAACUCCUACUCCUCCUCUGGAUUAAUGUGGCGAGGUUUUUGCAGUGGGGUGGCCUGCAAGAAGCCCAGCAGCUGCCCCAUGUCAGAUAACAGCCCUUGUAGGAGCAGCUCAGGCCUGAGCUGCAGCCCAUGGAGAGCGAUGUGCAGAGGGGCAGGAGGGCAGAGGGAGCUGCUGCCCGUGGGGAGCUGUGUGGAGCAGUGCCUGAAGGGUAGACUACAUUGUACAGAGCUUGGUACGGUGUUGGAACAGUGCUGGGAGUGCUGCAGCGUGUGGAAAGCCCAUGUGGGAUCAGACCAGAAAGGAUGACAUCUCGUGGGAGGGAUCCACAAAGAGCAGAAGUAGAGAGUGACCAUGGAGGAGCAGAAGAAAUGAAGCUUUAUGGAUUGACCAUAGCCCCCUUUCCCUGUUCCCCUGCGCUCAUUGAGGGAAGGAAGUAGAAGUUGAGCCUGAAAAAAGAAGGAAUUACACUGAGGAGCCCUGAGGUGGCCCGGAGAACAGGAAGGGACAACAUUCAAAACUCCAGCAACCAGUGAAACAGGAAUUAAGAUAUUACUCACCGAAGCCUCUACAAAACCAGACUAAAAUGCAGUCGAAAGCCUUUGCCAACUCUGGAACUCAAACAAAAAUCUGCUAUCUUAGAAGCAAUAGCAGCCAGAGGGAAUUGGUAAGGGAUCAAGGAAGAGUGGGGUGGGAGACAAAAUCUCAAAGACCACCAGGAUGAGAGGUGUUCACCACCUUAGACAUCAUCACGUGAAGGCAGGAUGCCCUGUGGAGCCUCGAUUGCCCAACAGAAGUUACUGUGUUGAGCAGAGGGUUUCCUGGUCAAAGUUUGGAGGAGGCCAAGCUAGGCAGUCUGAGUCUGAACCGUUUGCUCUGUGAUAGCAGCUGUAGCUCUACUGAGUGGUAAAUGAGUGAGUAAUGGCAAGCUGGCAGAGCUGAGGCUGCAGUAAGAGAGACACAUAUCUUGAUGGUUCAGGCAUGCCCUGUGUCAGCCGUGAAUUCUGCAGUUUGUGUUAAUAAGUGGAGCAUGCAAGUUGUCUGCUUGCCAUAAUGCAGGCGGCGGCCAGGCAGCAUGUGAAAAUGGAUGUUGUGGGGGCACCAAAACAAGGAGCUGAACAUACUAUCUCGAAAGAAAUCUCUACAGAAAGAAAAAGGGAGAUACCAUCCUGCGUGUCUGGGCUAGUGUGAAUUCAUCAGGCUUUGUGUUUGAAUGGGAUCCAGGUAUAGUGUACAAGUAACUCCUGUUUGCUUUGCUUGACCUAAAUCCAAGUUUUGCUUUGUCAGGUUCUGUCCGACGUGUGUUCUGUUUCCCUACUGCGUAGUAGCAGUGCUGGAGGCUGGGUGUUAGCAUUGGCAAUCUGAUGAUUCAAUCACACAAGUAUGAAGGCCAUAUUGUGGCAAUAGGGAGGAAGUGAGGACAUGUAACCUUACCAUGUGUUUUGUGGUGGUCGAAAGUUUCAGUUCAUGCUGAAAGAAUUCUUACUUGCGAAGUUUCAAAAGGAUUAAAUGCAGACUGUCCUUGAAUUCUAGACAGCAGUCAGGCACCACAAGCAACCUGCUUCUCUGCCAACAAUGUGUUUGGGGAUAUAAUGCCUUGUUCAGUUAUUUAUAAGUAGUCAUUUUUUGGGAUCGACACCUACCAGAGCCCGGCCCAUCCGCUUCCACUGCCUCCCAUUCCUUGGCAGCCAUUCCUGCAGCAGGAAUGCAUAGGUGGCGAGAGCCCUCCAGCUGCCCUUCAGCUGUCCUCAUCUUCAGUCUCUCUGGUUUGGGGGUCUUGAUCUGUUUGAGACCCUGCCUUAAACAAUCACGCUGCCAUAAAUGAGUAAGUUUCCAUUGCUACGAGCCAGGAACUGUAGCAGAUAGGAAGACUGCCAGCUCUUGGAUACCCACCUCUGGUUGGGCCACAAGAGGAAGUCACCUUGGCACAGAGUCUGUGGAGACACCAAAUCCCACUCACUUCUGAUCAUAGAAUCACAAGGUUGGAAACGACGUAUAAGAUCAUCCAGUCCAACCAUCUCCUCAUCACCACUGCCACCACAAGCACUAAACCAUAUCAUGCAGCAUGUUGUCCAGAUGCCUCUUGAACACUGCCAGGGGUGGUGACUCAACCACCUCCCUGGGCAGCCAUUCCAGUGCCUGACCACUCUCUGGGAGAAAUAGUUCUUCCUUAUGUCCAACCUAAAACGUUGAUGUUCACAACAGGUUUGAACUAAGCAAAGUACUUUACCCAUGGACAGUGCUGAGAUGCUGGUCAUCUCAGAAGAAGUGAGCUUGGCUGUGAAGGCAGAGUGUGAUAUAAUUGGUUGUGAGAUAUGAAGAGAGAAAUCAGGCAACUGAAAUUGCAUUUGGGUCCCAAAUGUGGGUUGUGAGAUUUUUUUCCAGGUGGUGAAGAUGUUCAGUAUGCUACAUGUUUCAGAGAUUGAGGCUUGAAACCUAACUAAACAAAUAAUGAAAAUAUAAAAAUAAAAUCAAAUAAAGAAAUGGAGUAUUGUUGUUGUUUAACCUUGUUGGGCAGCUCAGCACCACGCAACUGCUCGCUCAUUCUUGCCAGGCAGGAUGGGGGAGAGAAUUGGAAAGGUGAGCAAACCAAGGAAUUCAUUUACAGUUUCCCAUUGGCAAGUGGGUGUUCAGCCACGUCAGGAAAGCAUGGAUGUAUAGGACAUCCCUUUGGCUAAUCUGGGUCGGCUGUCCUGGCUACGUCCCCUCCUGACUCCUUGUGCCUCCCCAGCUCCUCACUGUAGGGCAGUGUAAGAAGUGGAGAUGUCCUUGGCUAUUUGUAGCACGGCUCAGCAACAACUAAAAUGUCGGCAUGUUAUCACUACUAUUAAUAGAAUCAUGGGAUAAUAAAAUGGCCUGGGUUGAAAAGGCCCACAAUGAUGAUCCAGUUUCAACCCCCCUGCUAUGUGCAGGGUCACCAACCGCUAGGCCAAGCUGCCCUGAGUCACAUCCAGCCUGGCCUUGAAUGCCAUCAGGGAUGGGGCAUCCACAACCUCUCUAUUUUCAUUGCAAAUCCAAACCACAGCAUCAUACAAGCCUCUACAAAGAAUAUUACCUUAUCCCAGCCAAAGCAUGACAAAUAUGAAAUCCACAAACCAAAGACGAAAGGUCGCAACGCAUAGCAGAGAAGGGAGAAAAGCAGCACUUUUGGUCUGAUUAGGUUUAAAACACGCAAUGUUCUCAAAAAGCAAUGUUUUUGCUCCAUUCCAAGUCAAGAAGUAUAGACAGCAAAGUCUUAGUAUGUGCUCCCCUUUGUGAAUUGCACCACAUAGAUAUACAAAGGUAGCCAAGCUCAUAUACCAUGCGUGCAGGUAUCACUACAGUAUAGCAGUUAGAAUUAUUACCACUUGAAGAAGAACAAGGAAAUAUUCAUCAGACCACCAUGGAGAAAGGAGAUGGGGGAAGAAGUGGCUGUAUCUUGACAAUCCCCUAUCAAAUGUUAGUUCUAAAUAAAAGUUCAUUCUGUUGUAGAUUGUUAGAUGCCAAAUAACAAGCCAAAAACAAAUCUUGAAAGAAAGAAAAUAAUUGCCCGUGAUACCUGGAUCAAUAUCUCAGUACACAGUGCUCCAGGCAGAGAGGGUGCACAACAUCUUUAGAUGUUUAACCACUUGUAUGUGUUUCCAUGGGGAGGUUAGGCUUCCAGUGAUUGGUAUCAUUAGUAUCAUAGUCAGUAUUUUUAUCUUAGCAAGCCCAAGAUGUAUUGUGGUUUAGGCCCCAGAAGUUACCAACUCUACUGUGAGGGAACUAAGAGAAAAAAUUCAAGUGCAUUAGAAAAUGUGGAGAGAUUUUCCAAGGAUCAUUUAUGAAGCAUCUUCUUUGCUUGUUGGUUUCUACUGAGCACAAAGUAAGUCAAUUUCAGAACAGUGGUGAUUAAACUGGGUUAAGUUGAUGUGAUUAUGCUGAAUUAUCCACGUCAUGAAAAAUUUCACUGAGAGGGAGGAAAUGGCCACACAGAUCCCAGCAAGGUCUGCUGAAAGAUAUGUAAGCUUGCUCCUCUCCUGGCAAAAGAGCUUAGUCCUACACAGGAUUCGUCUGGAUGCCUCAGACUCACUUUCAAUUUUAGGAUGAGAGUGAAUAGCCUUAAGUUGCUCCAGGGGAGGUUCAAGCUGGAUAGUAGGAAAAAUUUCUUCUUGAAGGGAGCAGGGAGGCAGUGGCACAGGCUGCCCAGGGAAGUUGUGAAGUCACCGUCCUUGGAGGUGCUCAUGAACUGUGUGGAUGUGGCACUGAGGAACAUGGGCAGUGGGCCCAUGUGUGAUGGGUGGUAGUUGGACUGGGUGAUCUUAGAUGUCUUUUCCAACUGUAAUGAUUCCCUGAUUUGAUGAAUUAUCUUCUUCUUGGAAAUCAGUCGUCCCAUCAUUGCUCCCACUUGCAUGGCUCACUCUGCAUCCACGUUUGCUGGAUUUUGGAAGCUUCCCUGAAGACACUGAGGCAAGCAAGCUUCCCUAACAAAGUCUGCAGUGAUUCACCCAGAGUAUCUGACUUACAUGGGAAAGUUCUGUGUGAUUUCUGCAAUGGUCGGAUGUAUCUCUGAGUAUCUCUGGAGUAGCACUUGGAGUGGAUACAUGCCCAGGCCACCUGCUCCCAAGCACAGCCCCAAUUUAAGGCCACCAUCCGCUUUGUAAUCCUACCACAUAGAAUUUGAAAGCAUUUAGGAACUGUGGCAAUCACUAAGAAAGAAAUUGCAUUUUAUUGUGGGGACCAGGGCUUCCUGCUGGCCAGCAGCCAGGAGCUGGCUUCAUCUCUGAGUGCUCCCUGGGCAUUCUGCUCUGCUGCCCCACUCCAUGGAGGUGGUGCAGCAGAUACCCUGCCACAGACCUCUCUGUGUACCCUUUGCCUCUCCUCAGUGCUACCAGAGUAUUGCCCCGGGGAGCCUGGACUGAGGCAUGUGCUUGUGUGUGUGCGAGCACGUGCGUGUGCGUGUGCCUGUGCACACACAGCUGUGUUUGUUUUCUGCUGUAUAUAGGAGAAAACAAGAUUAUUUAUGUUCUAAUAACUGUGUGUUCCCUGUAUGAACUAUUUUCUGCUCUGAUUUAUUGUUCUCUCUCGGCCUGCCCUCAAGCAUUGUUCUUAUAUUUGGAGCCGGUCACACUUUUUUCCAUCUGCAAAUGGAAAUCUUAAAUGGCGUAUUAAAUAACAAUUAAAAAACAAAACAAAACAAAAACCCAACAAACCAACAAAGAAGAUUUGGAGGAAGGAGGAGUUUCAUUCCUCUGUUUUCCCAUUAUUUUUUUCCUCUCGUCUUUCCUUUUACGCUUUCUCCCACCCACCCUUUUGCCCAUUUUUUUCUCUGAAAGGAAGGAGCUUUUCUCCCUUAUGCUUCUCUGGAGUUUUGACUCAAUCUCAGACAAGUUUUCGUGCAGUCUGGGUAAAAAUUCUUCUAAAGUCUUGUCUUUAAAUCUUUCUCCUUUACUGAGUGUUUUAAAUUCUCCUCACUAGCUCAUAGUCUCAUUCUUUUUUGAGGCGUGAAAUCCCCCCAGCUCUAUUGCCUACACAGCAAAAGGAACACGAACAAGGCAAGAGACUGUAAAGAAAAAAACAAGAGAGAAUAACAAAAAUUUGGCUAAGAAAAAUGAAUCAUCCAGCAUUAUGCCACAAGAAAACAAAAUCCAGAAUGUAUGUAUUUCUUCCUUUCUUAUGGGUCAUAUCUAUCAAGCAGGAUAAAAUCUCGUGCUAUUGUAUUUGUUCUCUAAACUUGAGGCACAAACUGCUUUGUAUGUAGCCUCCAGGGAUGUUGUCACCACACAAAUGCUGUCAUUAAAGUGUUGGUAGGAGGUCCCUUAGGAAAUGCCAGGGCUGGAGGGUCUUUUUAGGAAAAGCAACUAAUGCACAAGUCUGGAAGAACAGCUGGGUGCUCGUAAAUUAGGAGUCUUUAGGAGGUCUACCACACAUCACUGUAAAACUGCAAGCUUGCUAGAGUUUCUUGAGUUCAUUGCUCUAGAUACGCUCCAUGUCCCCCAGCUUUUCUAUCUGCUUCAUGCUAAGCCUUUCUGUGGCUGUAAGCCUCUGCCAGUUAACUCCCCAAUGUCUCAGUGCUUCUCUGUCUCUCCUUUCAGUUCUCUUGGUUUCUUGAUACUGUUUUGAUCCCAUACCUCAGCUGCUCAAGAGGAAAGAAAAGCGGCUUAGAGGAUUCCUCCCCUCUUCCAUCAGCUGCCCCUCAUUAAGAAAAAAUGCGUAUCCAGAUGUGAAACUAGAACCAAGCCUCCUGGAGUUCAAGGAGCAUUUGGACACCACUCUCAGAUACAGGCUUUGGAAUUUGGGUGGUGCUGUGUGGAGCCAGGAAUUGGACUCAGUGAUCAUUAUGGGACCCUUCCAACUUGGGAUAUUCGGUGGUUCUGUGAUUCUAUGAAAAAAAUAACUAUAAAUUAUUAACUCUGCAAUACCUUCAGUGUUAAGGCUAAAAGAAAGACUAAAACUGAAAUAAUGUGAAAGUCUUGUUCUGCCCAUUGUUCCAGAACAGUGAAUGCCGAGGUUUUCUGAUCCUGAAAAAUCAGGUGCUUUUGGGUAGAAGCCUCUAGAGGUCACCAGCACAUAAUCAAUAAGGCAGAGCUAAGCACAGAUACGGAGUGUAAAUUGCUUUGUUUCGAUGGAGACUUUAAACCUCUCUGUGUCCCCUCUCACAAAGAAUCCAGACAUCAUUAAAUAGCAAAUAACAUCAGGUGCCAGAAAAACCAUAACCUCCUGGACAAACUUCACUGUAUAGAAGUCAGGUCCCUUUGGUGUAGGAAAGCAGUCACCACAUGGACAUCUCCUGUCAGACUCUCACCUGCACACUUCUGUAAACAAAACCUGCCCUGGAGUCUGGGCUCUCUCGUGCCCCAAAUCUGUAAGCCCAGUAAAUGCUGUGAGUGUCACCAAACCAUGAAGUAUGCCAGUUCUUUCCCUAGCACUGGUGCAGGAAAGCAGUGACUCAGAACAGAGCACAGGCUGCACGUGCACAUUAAAUAAUUGGUAAAGACUUUUCUACUUUUCUUUUUGCCUUGUGAGUUAUUAUCUGAAGAGGCAGAAAUCCCCUUAAAGAGUAAAGUUGCCUUCCAGGUCACUUAUUUCUACAGAGAAGGUUUAGAGAGAAGCUACAAUUUAAUUAUGAUUAAAAGGUUGCCAUGAGGCCAGAGGCCUCAUCUACUUCACGUAACAGCAGAAGGAAAAGCUCAAGUAAUUUUCCUGAGCCCUCUCCACGGUUUAGGAAUGAAGCAGGCUGCAGAGGAGGGAGCUGGGGACAGCUGAGGAGAAUAUUUAUUACAAGACAGCAAACAGAACCCACUCCUUUCUGGAGAAGCUCCUCUGGAAAGAGCAAAGGUGUUUAUUUUGGGGCAGACACUGGAAGGGAGGCCUGUGGUGUUUCUUGCACAGGCUUUUUUUUCUCCUCUGAAAAGGCAGAAGAGUUGAACAUAGCCAAGUAACCUGUGCCUUGUGGGGUCACUACAGGCAGUGUAGGGGCACAGAGCUCCUUUGCUGUCAGAUACGGGGUAUUGCUAACCCAGGGCAGGGAAAUUUUUCUGAAUAUGCAGCAGGAAGCAAGAAGUUGCCCCUUCAACAGACUGUGCAGCCACUUCCAUAUUCCUCCAUGGUCCUGCCUUGGCUCAGUGGCAGCAGGUGCUUUGCACCCCUUGUGUCCUGCUCUGGGAGUAGUGCAGUAAUAGGAUCGCCCUGAGCAUGCUUGCUGAGAUUAGCACACGUUAUUUUUGCAGGCUGGAACUGUGAUGCUGCAGCCUGUUUGGAGUCUAUGUGUCGGUUCCUAAUCCCAGGCAAAGCCCUACAGAGGGCAGCAAGGCCACAAACAGAGGAAUGUACCCACCUGAAAGAGAUCAGGGUUAUUUUCAUUGGGGCACAUCAAUCUCAGAGAGGAAACGUUUAUAAGAGUCUUACAGCCAUCCCUUAUGUUCCUGCUUUUCACUUGAGAAAGAUGCACAAAUUAAUUAGGGGCUUCUCUUCUUCUCAGUUCUCUUUUCAAAGCGGGGUCCCACAGAACAUUUGCUUCUCCUUCCUCCUCUCCAAACAGCAGUCUCAUCAGAACUUCUCCCUGGCUGCCAUCUGUAACAAACAGAACACCACACCUUUUGCUAUUUACAGUGCAAUUAACCUUUAGCAAAUUAACCUGUGACCAUCAUGAAAGGAUUAAGGCAACACACCUUUCACUUGUUCCCUCUGUGCAAGUGGUGCACUGCAUUUGCAGGAUCAGGGCUGUAUUUUUUUGUCGUCUGUACUGGCAAACUGGCCAGCAACAGGGAGAUACACAUUGAGAGGCUCUGAGAGACACGAUCCAAUGGAAGCAGCCCUGGCCUUCCUCAAUGUGUUUGUGUUUCCCCUCUGCUGAGUGGUAAUGAAUGGUAGCAAGAAUGUGGGGCCAUGCCCUGGCCACCUCAGCUUCAUCUUGUAGCUUAUACAGCCAAAGAAGGAAGUGGCUGCCAAAAUAUCAGGCUGUGAUGCACAGCAGCAGUGGUCAGGACACACAGCCUAUCGUGCCUAGCACUGUCAGAUCAGACCCAGAUUUCUGUGUGUGCAUCCAGGAGGAAUAAUGCAUACUCAAGGAGGCCAAAGCUUUCUGGAAAGCCUUAGACUUCUGGCCCUCGCGUAGCCAAGUGGAUCUGUGCAGAUGUAGUGGACAUGCCUGGGUUAUCUGGACAGCUUCCCUCUUGCUGCCUGGCCUCUGGGAGCAAUCAGGCAAAUGAGCAAGUUCCUCAAAUUCCAACACAGAGCUCUGAUAGAAAAAGAAGCCUUCUCCAGGGGAAUCCUGCCUCUGCUCCUCUUCCCACACAGCUGUAACUCCUGGCAGAGAGGCAAGCAGUAAAGACAGUAAUGUCUUCAGCCAAUGCAGCUGCAACUGCCAGAGUUAAUGUCCAAUGCUCGAAAACCUCAGGACUCAAAGCUACAGCAGAGAAUGACCACAGAACAGUGGCACUCAGACUGGCAGGUAAUGUUUAGUUCACAUGAUCAGCAGCUUUUUGUCUUAUACUAUUCUUCCAACAUAGGAUUGUUCCACUUUGAUGUUCCACUCAUGCGGCAAAGUCACCAACAACGAGACAAUUUCAGCCCAGGGAAUAGGAUUUUGGGAAACAGCUUCUCUUCAAACCACAGCACCUCCACCUCCUCUGUGUCCUAAAACUUCAGCAGAACAGUAAUUGUUGGUAGGCACUUCUGUUUCUUCAGCACCAAGAUUCAGAUGGUAUCACAGAGCAAUAUUCUUCGGACAAACCCUGGACAAUUCCUUUGCUUGCAAUCUGAUGUAAACUACUUCUUUAUGCUUCUUCAGAUGUGUGAGCAUUUGAAGUUAUUACAAGUUAAACAACAUAUUUAACCUUAUUGUGAGUUCAGCCCAAGCGUGGCUGGGUCAGGGAACACAAUUCUGUCAUUCCUUGAUGAUCAAGUGUUUACCUAAGAUGUCUUUUACACCAGGAGAAUGGUUUGGACUAGAGAGGGAUGGCAACUGUGGGCAUGCAGCGUGCUCUGACCAGGCAGAAACACAGCCUGAGGGGCUGCAGGGAAAUAAAUGAGUAACAACAGUUUAUCACCGCUGAAAGGAAAGGCUCAAACAGCAUCUUUUGAGGCAGUGAGCUCCCAGCUCUUCACACUGUCAUGGUACAGACAUUUGUAUCCAUGUUCAGAAUAGCCAAAUAGCUGGUGGGGAGGAACAAGGGACUGGUCUGCUUUCAGACUCACCCUCCAUGUUACAGCACUGUCUGAGCAGCGAGGUGUCCGACCAAGCCCAUGAUAUAAUUGAAGGUUGCAAUUUCCUGGUGAUAGCACUGCAAGACUACACUAUGAAUUACAUAACAAUGAAAUGAAUACGAAGUAUAGUUGAUACUGGACAAUAAAAUGAAUGAGUGUAGUAAAUAAUUACACAACCGUGUAUUUUCUUGUGUAAUUGAUGACCAACUCCUUAAUUUGCUGCACAGAAAUGAAAGAGGAGUGACCAAGGUAACCUGCUGCUGAUAAUAUGGGUAUUAUUUGGAAAUUCGGGUUGUUCUUUAGGGCUUUGAUUCUUGACCAAUUCAGUAGCAAAAAGCUACUGAACAACGCAUCUAAAGCCAACAGGAACCAUAAAUCAAAGUGUCAAGUUGUGCACACCGUAUGAGUCAGUAUGUUUGUGGCAGUAUGUCAAGUUGUGAUACGUCAUACAGGGCUUCAGGGAGCAAGCACAUCAUCUGCUUGCAGGGGUCACCACACCCCUGCAAGAGCAUCCAUAGCCCCUGCAGCUAAGUCAUAGACGUAGAACCACACAAUCAUGGACCCCUAGGAUCAUCCAGUCCAACCAGCGGCCCAUCACACCGUGCCCACUGCCCACGUCCCUCAGUGCCACAUCCACGCGGUUCAUGAACACCUCCAGGAUGGUGACUGUACCAACUCCAUGGGCAGCCUGUGCCACUGCCUCACUGCUCUUCCUGAGAAGAAAUGUUCCCUAACAGCCACCCUGCUCCCAUAGGAACAGUGGCUCGGAGCCCUCAGCACUCAGACGUUCUGCCCGUUACGAGGGAUGGCCAUGCUGGUGGGAAGGCUUAGCUGCUACAUUGGUGCUUAGAGUCAGUUCAAAGCCAGGGGAGCAAUCGCUUACUUAAGCCUACAGCAGUGAGCUU